GCCCCACCCCAAGCUCGGUCCCUCCCUCAAGCUCAGCACCUCCCCCAAAUUGUGGCCUCUAUUUCUUUUAAAAAAUAAGCCAUCCCAAUCUGUGCUGCUUAUGGCCUCACAUACGUGGAACAAUCCAUUGUUUCCAAUCUACCAGGCUGCACACCUUUGAAGAAAACUACAUACUUUCCCUGGAAGUCAAGUGCGAUUCAUGAAUACCUCCCAGUGCCUGUUAGAUUGCCCACUGGCUUCAUCUUGUGCGGCCGACAGCGGCUGCUGCGGACUCUAGGAGUUUGUUGUGUCUACCAUUCCCAGAUGCGCCCUGAUUGUAUCUCAGCUCCUCACUGACUUCACUCUGAUGAUCUCCCCGCCCCCUCUUCCACAAUGGUCCCAGAGCCUUGGGGAGGCUGAGCAAACACAGAUGUCACAUUUACAGGUGAACACGCAGCACUAACUGACCAAUUGAGUCUGAGAUUUUUUUUUAAAAAUUAACGUAUAUGGAUGUUUUGUCUGAAUGUGAACACAACGUACAUGCAGUUAACAACGCCGCCAGAAGAGGGCAUCAGAUCAGGAAGUACAGGUACAGAUGGUUGUGAGUCACCAUAUGAGUGCUGGGAAGCAAACCUAGGUUCUCUGAAGUCUUCAGUGCUCUUAAACUCUGAGUUAUUCCAUGGGCCCCUGUAAUUGUCUUUUUAAUUGUUCUAAUUGUGCAUAUUUACUGAUGUGACGUUUUUAUUCAGCAAUUCAUAGGCAUUCAGUAAUGAUCAAACUGGGAUUCACACUUCAAACUUAUAUUUUAUCUGGUGAGGAAAUUCAAAACUCUUCUCCUCUGGGCAAUCUAUGAUGCAGCACAUUACUGACAAGUUAGAAGGAGGUCUGCACUAAUGAGCAGAGCAGCAGUGAUUGAACACAGAGGUAUUGUUUCAAGUACCAACUUGGCCUUGUGACAAAAACCAGAGUGCUGUGUGCACACACCUCUACCAUAAAUGUGAUGUGCACACAUCUCUACCAUAAGUGCUGUGUGCACACACCUCUACCGUAAGUGUGGUGUGCAUACACCUCUACCAUAAGUGUUGUCUGCACACACCUCUACCAUAAGUGUUGUCUGCACACACCUCUACCAUAAGUGUUGUCUGCACACACCUCUACCACAAGUGUUGUCUGCACACACCUCUACCAUAAGUGUUGUCUGCACACACCUCUACCACAAGUGUUGUCUGCACACACUUCUACCAUAAGUGUUGUCUGCACACACCUCUACCAUAAAUGUGGUGUGCACACACCUCUACUAUAAGUGUUAUGUGCACACAUCUCUACCAUAAAUGUGGUGUGCACACACCUCUACCAUAAGUGUUGUGUGCACACACCUCUACCAUAACUCUUGUCUGCACCUCUACCACCUCCUCUCUGCUGCUUUCAAAUAAACAGAAUUGUCAUUGGCAUGGAGGCAGGGGCUGAAUGGCAAUUCAAGAGCAGUUCCCAACUCUCCCUACCCUAAAUACUUAGAGAGACAAAGAGAAGAAGUAAAAUACUAAAUAGACAUCCAAGGCCUUUCUCAAACCUUCUGUCAAACUUCCCAGCAGGAGAAUGAGAUGCCCAUUGGUCAGACUCAGAUCUCCAUUCUCCCUUGUCUGUGCCAAGAACCAAUGGUUGUUAUUAUUUUAGGGGCAAGGAUAGAAAGGAAGGGGAAAAGAGGGAGGGAGAAAACAGAGAAGAAGGAAGAGGCAGCGGACAUCCCUGAAAGGGUAUAUAAGAGGACAUCAUAUGAAGGGUCCCUUAAUGCACCAUCACGGGUGAGGUGAAGAGUGUGUGCAUGAGGAACAAGGCAGGAAGGAGACUUUCUGCUUUCUGCUGCAUUGAUGGGUUUAGGGGUGUUAAAUUCAGAGCGGGCGUGCGCGCACGCACGCACACACACACAGACACACAGACACACACACACACACACACACACACACACACACACACACACACAAAAUCAGUAUGUUGUGGGUUCAGAUAGAGAAGUUGCUUACAUGGUUUCUGACCUUCUAAGAAAUGAUGUGGAAGUGGAGGGUAAAUGAUUCUGCUGGCGAGGUAACUAACACAGAGCCAUAGCUGCCCCUCCAUUAGGGAGGUGACUAGUGUAGUCCUGACUGCCCCUCCAUUAGGGAGGUGACUAGUGUAGUCCUGACUGCCCCUCCAUUAGGGAGGUGACUAGUGUAGUCCUGACUGCCCCUCCAUUAGGGAGGUGACUAGUGUAGUCCUGACUGCCCCUCCAUUAGGGAGGUGACUAGUGUAGUCCUGACUGUCCCUCUCUCAGGGAGGUGACUAGUGUAGUCCUGACUGCCCCUCCAUUAGGGAGGUGACUAGUGUAGUCCUGACUGUCCCUCUCUCAGGGAGGUGACUAGUGUAGUCCUGACUGCCCCUCCAUUAGGGAGGUGACUAGUGUAGUCCUGACUGUCCCUCUCUCAGGGAGGUGACUAGUGUAGUCCUGACUGCCCCUCUCUCAGGGAGGUGACUAGUGUAGUCCUGACUGUCCCUCCAUUAGGGAGGUGACUAGUGUAGUCCUGACUGCCCCUCCAUUAGGGAGGUGACUAGUGUAGUCCUGACUGCCCCUCCAUUAGGGAGGUAACUAGUGUAGUCCUGACUGUCCCUCCAUUAGGGAGGUGACUAGUGUAGUCCUGACUGUCCCUCUCUCAGGGAGGUGACUAGUGUAGUCCUGACUGUCCCAUCAGACGUCUUGGGGAAAAAUCAGAGCGCACUUGGAAAAGAGCUUGUCACACUCAAUGGGGACUUUUCAAGCAGGAAGACAGUCCCCAUCUACUGUUCGAUAGAAUACUCCAUUACUCCAUUCUCUUUGCCUCUAAGAACCUAAGGUGCAUCUUUGUAAUGACAA
rnacentral:sRNA from 1 species